AGUAUUUGGAGGCAGGAUGCACGGGCACCGGUCGGCCUAUGGAACCACCGUUGUGUGCUCCGUGCAUUACGUCGAAGGCAAAUACGCUCUCCUAAUCGGUGUGGGCUUGCACGCACCGGUGGGGCUUGAUAGAAAUUCAAGCCUUGACGCUGUAGCCUAACGAGAAAGCGACGAUGACCCGAAGAGACCCAAAUCGUGAAAGAGUUAGGCGAGAGCGUCGGCAAGUGUGGUCGCUUGUGGGAAACGUUGCUGAAUGGAAUUCGAAAUCCUGUAAUUGCUUACCGAUAUGCGCGUGUCCGGACCGGUCUCUCAUGCCUCGUUAGUGAUUUGAAUCCAUCACUUUGCAAACGUGGCGAUUUGUCGCUUGCGUCUGCUGGUUUGACUCACUCGUACGCGGUUGUUAAGGUGGAGGGACUCGUUUCUUUAGGUGACUUGAUCUGACGAUGAUGUUACCGUGCCUGGAUUAAGCUCGGCUUUAGGUCUAUUGCGUACGUGCGUAGAUUGAGCCUUGAUUUUGAUCUAUGGCAUAGCUAUGGAGUCGUUCGGUCUUUGUUGCGCGAGCAACAUGAGGGAUCGGUUUCUUCUACGCGGAUAUACGUAAGCAAGCGAUGAUGCAACGGUUCUUACAAGCGACCUUGGACCCUUCCUGAUGGACCCUUCCAGAUCGACCCUUCCUGAUGACGGUUUACAUUCCUGACUUUCCCAUCGUUCGGGGCAUUCUGGGGCUGUUUUGGCUAUUGGUUGCUUGUUUGGUCAUGAGCCGAACGGGUGGCUUCUAGCCAGGUGGCUUCGGGGAUGUUGACCGUAAAGGUGGAUGAGUGGUGUUUGGUUUGUCACGUGUGGUUGGCUGCGGCGUUUGCAACAACUUCCAUGCUUUCAGACCUCUUCAGUUGUGCGGCAAGGCUUGUAUCGCCUUGUCGUAAUGUGGGUUUUCUGUGUUGUAUACCUAAUCAAUGGUAUCGGUUGGAUUGAUCAAUGUUUCAUUUCGUCUGUCGUCGCAUUUGCGGCGUGAGACGAACCUUGAUGCGGUCUCUUUGGCCCACCUCGUCGAAGCACAUGCUUUGACGUUGUGGCACAUUGAGCAUUGCUUGGUCUCUUGUAUACGGAACAUAUAGUGGGCAUGGAUCUAACGAUUCUUGUUUGCCCUCAUGUUAGCGUAACGCUUCUCUUACACGACUUGCUCCACGUUUUAGCUCGUACGGACGUGGUGCUAGUCGAAGAG
rnacentral:misc_RNA from 1 species